AGAGUUUGAUCAUGGCUCAGAACGAACGCUGGCGGCAUGCCUAACACAUGCAAGUCGAACGCCAUCCUCUGGAUGGAGUGGCGCACGGGUGAGUAACGCGUGGGAACCUGCCUUUUUCUGCGGGACAACGAUUGGAAACGAUCGCUAAUACCGCAUACGCCCUACGGGGGAAAGGUCCGCCGGAGAGAGAGGGGCCCGCGUUUGAUUAGCUAGUUGGUGGGGUAAUGGCUCACCAAGGCGACGAUCAAUAGCUGGUCUGAGAGGAUGAUCAGCCACACUGGGACUGAGACACGGCCCAGACUCCUACGGGAGGCAGCAGUGGGGAAUAUUGGACAAUGGGGGCAACCCUGAUCCAGCAAUGCCGCGUGUGUGAUGAAGGCCUUAGGGUUGUAAAGCACUUUCACUGGCGAAGAUGAUGACGGUAACCAGAGAAGAAGCCCCGGCUAACUUCGUGCCAGCAGCCGCGGUAAUACGAAGGGGGCGAGCGUUGUUCGGANUUACUGGGCGUAAAGGGCGUGUAGGCGGCUCUUUAAGUUAGGCGUGAAAGCCCCNGGCUCAACCCG
rnacentral:rRNA from 1 species